rnacentral:lncRNA from 1 species
CUCCCAGCUGCCUCCUAUAAGGAAGCUUUAUUAGCCUGCAGCCUGUACUCCUCCACGCAGCAGAGCUGACAGGACCCCAUUAGUCAGCUUAUUCAACCCUUCCCCUGGUGCACAAACCCUUGCCAAGCUUUUCUGGCAUUUUGCUCAGCCUGCUUGGACCCUCCAAGCAGGUAGGAACUCACUGUUUCACAAAGCAGUGUUAUUAGAAAGGUUUCCCUGACCCUAGCCCCCCACAUCUAAUCUUUCUCAAAUGUGGGCAGACUUGUUCCUGGCCCCUUCUCAUUCCACCAGUGCACACAUGCACAUGCUCCCUCUCUCCAUCCAAGCUCCAGGAAUCAACCUCUACCCUGAACCAGGUCCCUGAGGACCACCACGUGGCUGCAACACAGCAGGUGUGGGGCAGGGCACAAGUGGGCUUAAGGGGGGUAUAAGGGCUGGCAGUUUGCUCAUUGAUUCACUCAACAAACAUGUACUGAGCACCUCUAAAGGGCCAGGGCCUGUGCUAGGCACUGCGGUGCCAUGGUGAGCAAAUCCAGAAAUGGACCCUGCCCUCUAGGAGUUCACAGUCCAGAGGAGAAGCCCGAUGCUGAACAGAGAAUCACAUCCGUGAGCAACACAAAAGGCAAGGCAAACCCUGGGCAGAUGCCCCCGGGACUGUGUGUUAUGGGCCUACAGGAAGCCUCUCCCAAUGAAAAAGCAAUUUUUCAGCCAGAACCUCCACCAGUGUCUUUCAAACUGAGCCUGGACCUGUGGCCUUCCCUGCCUCCACCUGGGCCUCAACCGUCACGACCACCUGGCCUUUGAGUUUCCUCCUUUGUAAAAUAGGUCUCAUAGAACUCAUCCCCAAAAGUCCUUGUGAAGAUUUAGUUUGUAAGCCAGAUGUCUGCAGACCUCCAGUAAAAGAAUAUGUUUUUGGUAUUAAAAUCAAAUGGCUCACGCUGUGUCUCAGAGCUGCAACGAUCCAACGCCCUCCAUCCUUCAGAGGCUGUCUGAGUCCGGGGACACAACUCCCACCCUCCUCUCCUGCCAGCCGCGGCCCGUGGCUGCUCUCUUCACUUCGUCCCGCUUCGCCCCGACUGUGGAUCUACCCGCUCCCUUCUCCCUCAGUCCCCAAAGCACCAGACUCACAGGCCUGCUGUGUGACCCACUUUUACCGACCUUUCGGGGAGAGUAGAGGGCAUUUGUGACUCAGCUCAGAGCAGGAAACACAUCUCACGUCAACUGUCAGACAGCGCUGCUCCGAAUCCCAUCACAGUGCUCCAGCAGGGGGCGUCCUCACCGGCCGCGGCCACAGCCACGGCUCAACCCGGCCUAGCUCCCAGACACCCUCCUUCCACCGCCUGUUUUCCACCGUCCCCGCCUGCUCUUUCAAGCCAGCAGCAAACAACACCCUAAUCCGUGUCUUUAUUAUUCAAAGACCUUAAGCACUCUUUCCCACCUCGUUCCCAUCUUGAUUAUUUCAGGGAAUGAAUUAGGGAUUCACCUUUACAAUCAAAAAAGUUCUCUCAAAGCCAGGCUACUGGAGUUCUAAUUCUGCCUUCCCACUUUUACUAGCUGUGAAAUCUCAGGAAAGUUACUUAACCUCUCUCUGUCUCAUUUUCCUCAUCUUUAAAAAACAGGAUGAUAAUAUUUAGCUCCUAAGAUGGUUGUGAGGAUUUAAGUGAGCUGAUAUAUCCAAGAAUGUCUAGAACAGCGCGUGGCAGAAUGGGCAUUGCAUAUGGGUUUAAUCUUGUAACUGCCAUGUUUCACCAAUUCUAAGGUGUAUCUCGUUUCUCAUCAUAAGAGCUCUUCCGCUCGUGUGGCAGCUGGGAGUGGCCGUCAUUGCCUGCGCAUACCUAAACUUGGUCAGGGCAGAAUGAUUGCUAGUCACACGUGAAGCAAGAAAACCCCGGCAAUAAAGCUUGCAGAAUGAGUGGCUGAGGCUUGAAAAUAAAUGGUGGAAACAAUAGUGGACAAUCUUUUAAAGAAUGGCACAUUGCCAAUGCUCCUGAUGGCACAGAAGGUGACACCAUGCAGAAAAUCAAGGCUCUGAGUCAAAGAGGGUUUCAGAAAAAUUGGACUCUGAAUGUGAAGAAAUCUGGGGACUAUUUUAGCCAAUUUGUUUUGCCUAUAAUUUCCUUUUAUGCAUGCAAAAGAGCAAUUCUGACUUUAAAGACUGAUAUCUAAAUAAAUCUAAAAUAUCUUUUUUGUGUGUGUGUCUGUGAUACAGUGUCUCGCCCUUUCACCCAGGCUGGAGUGCAGUAGUGCAAUCUCAGCUCACU